rnacentral:rRNA from 1 species
AGGACGAACGCUGGCGGCGUGCUUAACACAUGCAAGUCGAACGGUAAGGCCCCUUCGGGGGUACACGAGUGGCGAACGGGUGAGUAACACGUGAGCAACCUGCCCUUGACUCUGGAAUAACAGCUGGAAACAGCUGCUAAUACUGGAUACGACCUCCGGCGACAUCGCCUGGAGGUGGAAAGCUCCGGCGGUCAAGGAUGGGCUCGCGGCCUAUCAGCUUGUUGGUGGGGUAACGGCCCACCAAGGCAUCGACGGGUAGCUGGUCUGAGAGGACGAUCAGCCACACUGGGACUGAGACACGGCCCAGACUCCUACGGGAGGCAGCAGUUAGGAAUCUUGCGCAAUGGGCGAAAGCCUGACGCAGCAACGCCGCGUGGGGGAUGAAGGCUCUCGGGUUGUAAACCCCUUUCAGUAGGGACGAAUUCAGACGGUACCUACAGAAGAAGCCCCGGCCAACUACGUGCCAGCAGCCGC